UGAAACUACCCAGGAAGAAGAAUUCCUGAAUUCUAUUUUUGUUCAUGACGGUUAUGUGAACAAUGAACAAAAUAUAAAUACCUUCGACAAUACUUCCGUCCAUGAAACAAACCAAGAGAAAAAGAAGAAAAAAAAGAAGAGCAUAUUUUCUUUCUUCUAAUCAUCACAGAGGAAGGUUUCAAAAGAAUGCAGUAUUCCAUGUAGAGGCUCGGAAGAUUUUCUCAUUGUGAAUCAGAAGAACCGGAAGCUAUCAAUCUUCUGAUAACAAUACUAAAGUUCUUUCAUCUAUAUGGAGACAACGUCAUCAAGAC
rnacentral:sRNA from 1 species